rnacentral:tRNA from 1 species
CACCCGAUGACUGAAAUGAAAGUAUAGGUCUUUUAAACCUGUCAUAGUAGAGGCACCUACUUCUGGUGG